rnacentral:piRNA from 1 species
UACCUAAAGGUUUGGAAGGCUGUGAAGCGC